rnacentral:rRNA from 1 species
AUGGAUUUGGGCGACAUCGUGCUCUCCUGGUCAAUCCAGGACAUCAUCAACGACGACCUCUACCGAGGGCAGGUUGAGGCUAUUCCUUGCAGCUUCACGUCACUUGAUCACUAUCUCAAAUCGUAUCGCGCACCUUUGAUUGAAGAGACAAGGUCACAUCUGUGCUCAUGCCUUGAACUCAUCAUGGAAGGACCCUCUUCGAAUAUACUCUCUAUGGAGGUAACGGAGAAACCGGAAGUGUACUAUAUAUAUGUGGACUUUUGGGAUUAUGGGGCUGCUUAUUCUACGGAGGCUCAUACCGUAAGGAAUGGUGACGUAUUUAUUUUGUCUAGCAUGAAACCUGAAGGUGCGGGGGACUUCAACCGCUAUGGCGUGACAUAUUACUUGGCAAUGGUUACUGAUGUUUGUAUGGAUGAUGAUGAUGAUGAGUGCCAGAAGCGUUUCCAAAUUAAGGUCGCAAAAGAUAUUGGUUUGGAAGAAGACUUACAGAAACUCACGUAUGCAAUAUUUCUCGGUAAUAUCAUAACAAAUUUGUGGAUAUGGAAAGCACUGAGCUUUGACAAGCACAUGAAUAACAAUUUCACAGUGAUCGAGUCUCUCUUAGCCCCCACAAAUUCGGGUGGUUAUGUCUGUCAUAUCUGUGCUAAACAUGAUGGGGAACAUUUGGCUUGUUUCACAGAGCAACUGUUACCGAUGAAUCUUAAUAGAUCGCAAAUGGAUGCUAUUGAAUCUGUCAUCUCAGCUGUAAGAUGUAGGCAUAUGAACCUCAUGAAGCUUAUACAGGGUCCACCGGGUACUGGAAAGACCCACACUGUUAGUGCUUUACUGCAGGCUUUGGCUUCUAUGAAAUGCAGAACUCUAACAUGUGCUCCCGCAAAUGUUGCUGUAAUUGGGGUUUGCACAUGUCUCCUUCAAAACUUGAAGGAAUUCAACACAAACGUUGACGAAAAUCAUUUACCCUUUUUCCUUGGAGAUGUCUUGCUAUUUGGGAACAAGUAUAAAAUGGACAUAACUGGAGAUCUUCAGGAAGUUUUCUUGGAUUUUCGUGUGAGUGAACUUGUUGAGUGCUUUUCAUCGUCGUCUGGAUGGAGCUGCAAACUAGCUUCAAUGAUAUCUUCUUUUGAAGACUGUGGUUCUCAGUAUGAUAGGCUUCUUCGGGAUGAUGGAAGUAGUGAUCCUGUGUGCAAUCUGGACUUCCUAAAGGAGCAAUUCGUGACAGCAAUAGCUCUUAGAAGUUGUAUAAAUAAAUUGUUGAUUCGCCUCCCUGGAAGGUGCUUUUCCCGUGAUAAUAUCAGCAAUAUAUCCACAUUGUUCAAUAUGCUAGAAAAAUUUGACGCCCUUCUGUGUGGUGUUGAUUUAACCGGCAAGAGCUUAAAAAGUUGUCUCUCAAGCGACAACUCAGUUUGUGUGCAGCCUAUAUCUUUUACUGAGAAGCAACUGGAUGGAAUAAGGCCCACAUGCCUUAAAUUGCUGAAGGAUCUUCAACACUCGCUUAAUUUACCUAUUGGAGUAGGCAAAAACUGGGUCCAGCGCUACUGUAUGCGUAAUGCUGUGCUUCUUUUCUGUACUACCUCUAGUUCUUACCGAUUGCAUCAUAUGGAGAUUGAACCCCUUGAUGUGUUAAUUGUCGAUGAGGCUGCACAAGUGCGAGAAUGUGAAUUGGUGAUCCCACUACGUCUGCAUCAGUUGAAACAUGUUGUUUUGCUAGGAGAUGACUGCCAGCUGAAUGCAAUGGUUAAAAGCCAGUUAUGCAAGGAAGCUGGAUUCGGAACAAGUCUUUUUCAGAGAUUGGUUAUGCUGAAUUUCGAAAAGCAUUUGCUGAAUAUACAGUACCGAAUGGAUACUUGUAUCAGCUCAUUUCCAAUUGCUCAGUUUUAUGAGAGGAAGAUUUUAGAUGGUCCAAAUGUCUUGUCUCCUUCCUAUAAUAAGGAUUACACAAGCCUCCCUUUUGGCAGCUACACUUUUAUAAGUGUCACUGAUGGAAGGGAAGACAAAGAUGGCACUGAAAACAGUUGGAGAAACAUGGCUGAAGUUGCUGUUGUUUUGUAUCUUAUCGAAAACAUCUUCAAAUCCUGGAAAGGGUCAGGCCAAGGGCUCAGUGUCGGUGUGGUCUCUCCAUAUAGCUGUCAAGUUGGUGUAAUUAAAGAUAGACUCGGUGAAAAAUACGAUACAUGUGAUGGAUUUCAUGUGAGGGUCAAGUCCAUUGAUGGUUUCCAAGGCGAAGAGGACGAUAUAAUCAUACUAUCAACUGUCAGGUCCAAUGAGAGAGGAGGUCUUGGAUUUCUUGCUGAUAACCAAAGAACAAAUGUUGCUCUUACUAGAGCAAGGCACUGCCUUUGGAUUGUUGGGAAUGCUUCUACAUUAUAUAAAAGUGGGACUGUCUGGAAAAACCUUGUUCAUGAUGCGAGAAGCCGUAACUGCAUUAUUAAUGCCAAUAAUGACGCAACCAUGUGCAAAUUGAUAUUGCACGUAAAGCAAGAACUUGAUGAACUUGACGAUCUUCUCAAUGCUGAUUCAGCAAUUUUCAGCAAUACUAGAUGGAAGGUUGUUCUUAGCGACGGAUUUAGAAAAUCUUUCAUCGGACUAAAAUCACCGCAGCUCAAGAGGGAAGUACUGCAGAAACUUGUUAAACUUGGUGGUGGUUGGAGGACAACAUUUAAGAACAUUGAUAUAUGUGAUACUUUCCAACUUGCAAAAGUAUACAAAGUCAGGGAUUUUUAUCUUAUUUGGAAUAUUGACAUGGAGAAAAAAGAAAGAAGGGUUUUCCAGAUAAUAAGAAUUUGGGACCUACUACCCCACAAGCAUGUUGCAAGAACUGUUCAACGUCUCGAAAACAUGUUUUCCAUGUACACAGAUGAUUACCUGGAUCACUGCCGAAGAGUGCAGACAGAUGGGAAACUGGAAGUUCCUGUGAUUUGGGAUGUUGAGCAUAAUAUUAUUCGCUAUAAGGACUGCACAGUUGAUGCCCAGGAAGAUCAUGAUCGCAUGGAUACAUCAUGUCUUCUGGAGAAUUUGAAAGUUAGUGAAAGCUUCUUGCUGAUGAAAUUCUACUCUUUAUCAUCUGGAGUGGCAAAACAUUUGCUGACAGCUACUGAUGGGUCUGAAAUUGAUAUUCCCUUCGAACUGACUGACGAAGAGGAUGUGAUAAUCCGAUUCCCUCAGACUAGUUUCAUACUUGGGAGGUCAGGAACUGGGAAAACCACCGUCUUGACAAUGAAACUACUUCAAAUAGAGCAAAUGUCAUUUACUGCAUCCCGGGGGCUUAACUUGGACGAAGUUGGUUUACUUGGGGCUUGUGAAAAAAAUAUUAUCACACUGAAUGACAUAAAGGAAGAAAGUUUUGUAAAACAGGUCUUCAUCACUGUAAGCCCAAAGUUAUGUUCGGCUGUAAAGAAUCAAAUUUGCAGACUUAAAAGAUUUGUCUCUGGUGAUGCCCCUGACCAGCCUAGCACCGAUAUGCAUGACAUCAUUGAUGAUAUGGAACAAUCUACAGAAAUUCCAGACAAUUUUUGUGAUCUACCUUGUGAGCACUAUCCCCUUGCUAUAACAUAUCGCAAGUUCUUGAUGAUGCUUGAUGGAACACGCCAGACAUCAUUUUUUGAUAUUUUCUAUGGUGAACUGAGGUCUAGCACUGAGAGGGGCUAUUCAAAAUCCCAUGCAUUGCAAACUUUGAUUGAACUGAAGGAAGUUACUUAUGAGAAAUUUGCUGCUUCGUACUGGCCUCAUUUUAAUGCAGACCUGACCAAGAAACUUGAUGCGUCCACUGUCUUUACUGAAAUAAUUUCUCAUAUAAAGGGCGGAUAUCAAGCAAGCAGGCCUAGUACAGGAAAACUUGAAAGAUCAGAUUAUGUGAUGCUCUCAGAUAAAAGAUUUUCAUCCUUGAACAGUGAGAAGAGAGAUAGGAUUUAUGAUAUUUUCCUUGAUUAUGAGAGCAUGAAGUGCACUGCCAGAGAAUUUGAUUUGUCUGACUUUGUGAAUAGCCUUCACAAAAGUCUAGUUUCAGAGGGCUACAAUGGCGACAUGGUGGAUUUUGUUUAUGUGGAUGAGGUGCAGGAUCUAACCAUGACACAAAUAGCACUUCUUAAGUAUGUCUGCAGGAAUUUCGACGAGGGCUUCCAUUUUGCCGGUGAUACUGCACAGACUAUCGCAAGGGGGGUUGAUUUCAGAUUUGAAGAUAUUCGCUCACUUUUUUAUACCACAUUCCUCUCAGAAACUGAAGCAUGUAAUCAAGGAAAUAAACAUGGAAAACAAUGCCAUCUCUCUGAUAUGUUUCAACUUACUCAAAAUUUUCGCACACAUUCCGGGAUUCUUCGUAUGGCCCAAAGUAUCAUUGACCUUUUGUACUUCUUUUUCCCAUCAAGUGUUGACAAGCUUAAUCCAGAGACUGGACUUGUAUAUGGAGAACCUCCUGUAGUGCUGGAGACUGGUAACGAUAAAAAUGCAAUUGUGAAUAUAUUUGGAGAAAGCAAAAGUAAGGAUGGUAACCCGCAUGGGUUUGGUGCCGAGCAAGUCAUAUUGGUUCGUGAUGAUGCUACCAAAAAACAAAUUGUUGAUCUUGUUGGUAAACAGGCCCUUGUUUUGACUAUUGUUGAAUGUAAAGGUCUUGAAUUCCAGGAUGUGCUGUUGUACAAUAUUUUCAGUUCAUCGCCUUUAAGAAACAAAUGGAGAGUUGUCUAUGGCUAUAUGAAAAACAAAAAUAUUUUAUCAUCACCUGAGGAGAUCUCUCAUCCGGAAUUCGACAGAAACAAGCACUGUCUUCUCUGUUCAGAGCUGAAGCAACUUUAUGUUGCCAUCACACGAACUAGGCAAAGAUUGUGGAUAUGUGAAACUGCAGAUGAUUACUGUAGGCCAAUGUUUGACUUCUGGAACAAGUUGUGUCUUGUAGAAGUAAGAUUACUUGAUUCUUCCUUCAUUGAAGCAAUGAAGACAGGAAGCAGCACUGAUGAUUGGAGGCGGCGGGGCACCAAGUUAUUCAAUGAGGGGCAUUUUGAGAUGGCUACAAUGUGUUUCGAAAAGGCUAAUGAUGCAUACAGAGAGAAGUGGGCAAGAGCUGCCGGACUUGUAUCAACUGCAGACAGUGUCAUGCCUAAGAAUUUGGAGCUGGGCCAGGCUUCAUUGCAAAAAGCGGCAGAGAUUUAUGAAUCUAUUGGCAUGCACGAGAAAGCUGCCAGUUGCUAUAUCAAGUUACACGACUACAAAAGAGCAGGAAUGAUGUAUAUGCAAAAUUGCAGCACUUCAAGGCUUGAGGAUGCUGGUGACUGUUUUGCUAUGACUGAAUGCUGGUCAGAAGCAGCCGAAGCGUACUUCAAAGCUAAAUGUUAUACCAAAUGUCUCUACAUGUGCUCGAAACGAAAACUAUUCAGUUUAGGGCUCCAGUUCCUACAGCAGUUGUGGGAGGAAGCUUCAGUUGAUGAGUCG